AAUUGCAAUUAACGAAACUUGUCGGAAUGGUUAGCUAACGAUACGAAUAUUGUCGUUAAGAAAAAUGGGAAUCGCACUACAGAGCACUAUUCGCCUAAC